rnacentral:rRNA from 1 species
GAUGAACGCUGGCGGCGUGCCUAAUACAUGCAAGUCGAGCGAACAGACGAGGAGCUUGCUCCUCUGACGUUAGCGGCGGACGGGUGAGUAACACGUGGAUAACCUACCUAUAAGACUGGGAUAACUUCGGGAAACCGGAGCUAAUACCGGAUAAUAUAUUGAACCGCAUGGUUCAAUAGUGAAAGACGGUUUUGCUGUCACUUAUCGAUGGAUCCGCGCCGCAUUAGCUAGUUGGUAAGGUAACGGCUUACCAAGGCAACGAUGCGUAGCCGACCUGAGAGGGUGAUCGGCCACACUGGAACUGAGACACGGUCCAGACUCCUACGGGAGGCAGCAGUAGGGAAUCUUCCGCAAUGGGCGAAAGCCUGACGGAGCAACGCCGCGUGAGUGAUGAAGGUCUUCGGAUCGUAAAACUCUGUUAUUAGGGAAGAACAAAUGUGUAAGUAACUAUGCACGUCUUGACGGUACCUAAUCAGAAAGCCACGGCUAACUACGUG